UCUGCAUAGGAGGAGCUACAGGAGGAGCUACAGGAGGAGGGGAUGUUAGAGUGUAUACCAGCACCUACAAUGUUGCUGUGCAGCUACAACUUUAUCUGAGGCUGCUCAUUUAACCCACCAACUCUCAGAAGGUGGGAUUGUGCUCAUCUUACAGGCAAAGAAACGGAGGCUUGAAGAGAUCAAGUACCUCACCCAGAACCCUCACCACUAGGAAGUGCCGGAAUCAGAACAGGCACAGCAUGGUGCUCUAUUUAGCAUGUUCCCCACAGCCCACACAACCUAAGAGGCAGAGGUUCCUUCGUUCCCUAGGAAUCUCUGAGACUGUGACCUGUAGGACAAGGAGCUACAUGGUCCUUCUUCAUCUCUAGGUCACAGGACACACACAGACAGCAAACCCCAGUGUUCUUAGAAGAGACUGUUGAUGUAAACCUCUGAAGUGUCUCCCUACAGCAGCCCUGAGUCUGGGGCUGUGCAGGAGCCUGCAUUAGACUUGCUGCAGAUUUCCAUCUGACCUCUCCUUAGCUGAGAAACCAAGACGAGUGAAGUGUGCUUCCCGCAGCCUUUCCCUCUACCUAACCUCUCCUGGUCAGGGCUCCCAGAGCACACACGCCCCUGAGGUUCUUUAGUGAAGGCUCACUAGCAUCUCCUUGUCCCUUCCCAAGACACUUGUGUCUUUCCUGUAGCCCUGGUCCUGCUCCAGCCACAGGCCACCUCCACUAUAGCAAGGGAAGAGGUGGGAGGAUGUGGAAGAGGUAAUCGGCCUUCUGGUGUGGGUUGGUGGUAAGGAACACGCCUCCUGCAGAUGCUGGAACACUUGGCAUAGGACUCCGGGGUCAGGCAGUCUCACAGGAAGCUGGGUCUCCGCCCUUCCCCUCCAGCUUCCUAGUAAAAAUAACCGAUGCUUCCGGAAGCAUUCUACACAGGAAGGCCACGGUAGGAGCUGCAAGGUUACUAUCAAUAUUCCUUCUGUUUUGCAAUGGUUAGGAUAGAGUGUUCCCACCUAUCUCCUCUCUGCCUCGCCUCCUUUCCCUCUUCAGCACCUCUGGCCUCUUUUUAUUCAGAAUUCCCUAGAGAGAACCUCCUGGGCUCCUCUUUGCCCUACAGCAUGGAAAACACAACCCUGGGAAUAUGUCAAGAUAAUUCAGUGGCAAACAGACUGAAAAAAAUCCUAAUCACUGUGUAUUUUCUCCUUUCUUUCUUUCUUUCUUUCUUUCUCUCUCUCUCUCUCUCUCUCUCUCUCUCUCUCUCUCUCUUUCUUUCUUUCUUUCUUCUUUCUUCUUUCUUUUUGACAAUUUCUUUGUGUAGCCUUGGCUGUCCUAGACUCAUUUUGUAGACCAGGCUGGCCUUAAACUCAGAGAUCCACCGGCCUUUGUCUCCCUGAGUGCUGGGGUUAAAGGCGUGCUCCGUGCCUGGCUGUUUUUUUCUUUUCUGUUUUGAGAAGAGUUAUUAUGGCCAUAAACCCCUUUCCUUGUAAUUAUAUUUAACUUAAUGGUGUUCUUAAACUUUUUUUUUUUAAUGUUCAGGGGGCAUGUGGAUAUGUCCAGAGUCAUGAAGAGGGAUGAAAACGACUCAAAUGUUGAAAUAAGCAUGCUAGCUGGUGAUUCUGGACCUUGUGCACUAAGAGCACUUGGGCUAAUGUAAUGGUGCAACCUUUGAAAAGGCCACAGAUUUAAGGGCUGGUCCAGCACCCUACACUGGCCCAAGCCUUGGCAUAGUAAGGGGCUUGGCUCUGCCUUUGCUGUGUUGUGAGUGGUCGAAGCCAAACCCCUCAAUUCUGGGUUGGGGCAAGAGAUGCUUUUUGUUUGUUUUGUGUGUGUUUUAGAUAAGAUUUUCUUCUGUAGUUUCUAGGCUGGUAUUAACUUAUAGAAAUCCUCCUGCCUCAAAGUUUCAAGUGGUGGGAUUACAGGCAUGAGCUACCUCGUUUGCCUGACAAUUUCUUAAAGGAGAAUAUUUCAGCCUCCUUCCCCCUUCUCCCUCCUGCCAAUGUGGUGCUCAGACUCGGAGCUAGAGGGUAAAGAGGACCUCUCACAAGCUUUUCUGCACUCGGUGGCACACUCGACUUAAUGAUUGAGCAAGACGGCUGAGCAAGACGGCUUUGAAUCACCUACGCCCUUGGCGCCACCUGCUGCUCCCGCCGCGGCAAUGCAGCUCUGACCCGGCCGGAACCCAAGCCUAGCUUCUGAGCCCAACGAGAAAUCUGAAGAUCAUCCUGCUGCCUGCCUCUUUUGGGCUAUGUCUUGGAGCUCUCUGUGCACCAGCCACCAGCCGGUGGACGUUCUUUCCUUCGCUGAUCUAGGGACGGAAGGAGAGCAUAGACUCUGCAAGCCUGCCCUCUGACCUCCACAGGUGUGUCCUGACUGACGUAGAUUGCCCCACCCCAAGCAGAGAAAUAAACGCA